GGGCCCGCACAAGCAGUGGAUUAUGUGGUUUAAUUCGAAGCAACGCGAAGAACCUUACCAGGUCUUGACAUCCCGCGAGUAGCCUAGAGAUAGGUGAUGCCUUUCGGGGCGCGGAGACAGGUGGUGCAUGGUUGUCGUCAGCUCGUGUCGUGAGAUGUUGGGUUAAGUCCCGCAACGAGCGCAACCCUUAUUGCUAGUUGCUACGCAAGAGCACUCUAGUGAGACUGCCGUUGACAAAACGGAGGAAGGUGGGGAUGACGUCAAAUCAUCAUGCCCUUUAUGACCUGGGCUACACACGUAAUACAAUGGCACUUAACAACGGGAGGCAAUACCGCGAGGUGGAGCAAAUCCCCAAAAAGUGUCUCAGUUCGGAUCGCAGGCUGCAACCCGCCUGCGUGAAGUCGGAAUUGCUAGUAAUCGCGGAUCAGCAUGCCG
rnacentral:rRNA from 1 species